AUUGAACGCUGGCGGCAUGCUUUACACAUGCAAGUCGAACGGUAACAGGUUAAGCUGACGAGUGGCGAACGGGUGAGUAAUGCAUCGGAACGUGCCCAGUCGCGGGGGAUAACGCAGCGAAAGCUGCGCUAAUACCGCAUACGAUCUGAGGAUGAAAGCAGGGGACCGUAAGGCCUCGCGCGAUCGGAGCGGCCGAUGUCAGAUUAGGUAGUUGGUGGGGUAAAGGCUCACCAAGCCGACGAUCUGUAGCUGGUCUGAGAGGACGACCAGCCACACUGGGACUGAGACACGGCCCAGACUCCUACGGGAGGCAGCAGUGGGGAAUUUUGGACAAUGGGCGCAAGCCUGAUCCAGCAAUGCCGCGUGCAGGAUGAAGGCCUUCGGGUUGUAAACUGCUUUUGUACGGAACGAAAAGGUUUGGCCUAAUAAGCUGAGCUCAUGACGGUACCGUAAGAAUAAGCACCGGCUAACUACGUGCCAGCCGCCGCCGUAA
rnacentral:rRNA from 1 species